rnacentral:rRNA from 1 species
UACGGAGGGUGCAAGCGUUAUCCGGAUUCACUGGGUUAAAGGGUGCGUAGGCGGGUUGGUAAGUCCGUGGUGAAAUCUCCAAGCUUAACUUGGAAACUGCCGUGGAUACUAUCAAUCUUGAAUAUCGUGGAGGUAAGCGGAAUAUGUCAUGUAGCGGUGAAAUGCUUAGAUAUGACAUAGAACACCAAUUGCGUAGGCAGCUUACUACACGAUCAUUGACGCUGAGGCACGAAAGCGUGGGGAGCAAACAGG